rnacentral:rRNA from 1 species
CCCUUAGAUGUUCUGGGCCGCACGCGCGCUACACUGACGAAGUCAGCGAGCAUGUCCUACGCCGACAGGUGCGGGGAAUCUUGUCAAACUUCGUCGUGAUGGGGAUUGAUUAUUGAAAUUCUUGAUCAUCAACGAGGAAUUCCUAGUAAGCGCAAGUCAGCAGCUUGCGUUGAUUACGUCCCUGCCCUUUGUACACACCGCCCGUCGUUACUACCGAUUGAAUGGUUUAGUGAGAUCUUCGGAUUGGCGCCACUGCGGCUCAGCAAUGGGCUCGGUGGAUGCCGAAAAGUUGAUCAAACUUGAUCAUUUAGAGGAAGUAAAAGUCGUAACA